AACGAACGCUGGCGGCACGCCUCAUACAUGCAAGUCGAGCGCGAAAACCACCUUCGGGUGAUGUAGAGCGGCGAACGGGUGAGUAACAGGUGGGUAAUCUGCCCUUUGGCGGGGGACGAACAAGCUGGAAACGGCUGCUAAUACCGCAUGUGAUUGUGGACUUAUGGUCUGCAAGGAAAGGCGCCUCAAAGCGCCACCAAAGGAUGAGCCCGCCCCCCAUUAGCUAGUUGGUGAGAUAACAGCUCACCAAGGCAUCGAUGGGUAGCCGAGCUGAGAGGUUGAUCGGCCACACUGGAACUGAGACACGGUCCAGACACCUACGGGUGGCAGCAGUAGGGAAUAUUGCGCAAUGGGCGAAAGCCUGACGCAGCGAUGCCGCGUGAGUGACGAAGGUCUUAGGAUUGUAAAGCUCUUUUCUGAGGGAAGAAUAGGUCUGGUAGGAAAUGACUGGAUUCUGACGGUACCUCAGGAAUAAGGAACGGCUAA
rnacentral:rRNA from 1 species